rnacentral:misc_RNA from 1 species
GCGAGUAAGACCCUGCCCUAGUGGCUCGGUCAGUCCCAUCAUAUACACCUUUAUUCGUGAACUCGUGGUUCAGCUGGACGAUGAAAGCUUUGGCGACUAGCCGUCCGUCGGUUCCGCUCUUUGUACCCUUUAUGCGAAGUCAAUGGAAAUUAUGAUAAUCUAAUA